GAGGAAGCAGCCCAGAUAUUUGUCCAUCUCUUAUGUUAUGACAUGUUAGAAAUUAAUUAUGUGGAUUAAUUGUUUACCGCGAGGACCUGAGUCAUAACACAGGAUUUAAUGUUGGAUGGCAGACAGCUUCAGCUGGGAUCUUCAGUGCAUUAGUGUCCACCUGUCCACCCUGCCAAGGAGGAAAGUUCAACCUCUCCAAUGUUGUGGAAAGAAAUGGUGAGGUUCAUCACACUGCAAGGGAAAGGCAUCUUGGUGAAGAACAAACCUGAAGGUUUCUGUGACUUGUUUGAAGUUUGGAAGGAAGUGAGUGGUCCUGGUGUUCGAGUGUGGUGCUCAGCAGCUCCUCUGUGUGUUUGUGCCCCUCAGCAGUUCAACUCUUCCCACUCCUUCACCCCGUGAGAAGCGGUGUAGGAGAGGAUUGAUCACUGGCUGGGUUCUGCUGUGUGACUGUGCACAGGCUGCUCCACUCGUACUUUGCUCACUUGGAGGAAACACUGGAGCACAGCUUUAAGUACAAGACAGCUGAGAUGUGUUAAAAGCCAGAAAAAGGGUUUAAAGCUCCACUAGCUGAAAUGGAUUCCUGCAGAUUUAAACUUCCAAGGUAACCGAGUGCUACAAAACACAAACCAGUGAUGUUUUGUAGAACUGGAGUCAUAAGAGAGGAAAAAAGUCUAGUCAAAAAACCAUCAAGAAUGUCAUUAUCAAACAGAUUGAUAAGGCUCUUGUCCAUCAGAAAGGAUGUGGGAAUGUACAGCAGUAUUUUGUCAUUCACUUCUCAAAAAAAGCAAAACCUGUUCUUGCAGUCCCGUAAUAGCUCUCCAUCAUUGCUAUAUAUUAGGAACAGAAGUCACAAAUUUCACAGCUUUCUCUGGAUCAGGAAAAUAGAACUGGGUGUAUUUAUAGUCUCUUGAAGAAUACAGGCACUGAUAUUUAAAGUGCACUUGGUGAUUCAUGGAAAACUGAUAAACAUUAAUUUCAAAACAAUGGUAUGGAAUGCUCUCAUUGUGCUCCCUUUAGCUGCCUUUUCUUCUAUCUUGCCUCUUAGUCAUACAUCCUGAAACAACCCAAGAUCUUCCCUAUGGCAGGAUCUAUUUGUGUCAUGUAUAUCAGUGCUUUUUUAGGUUACUUGUGUUCUUUACAUUGUCCUUAAUAUGCCUGUGAAAUAAUAAUUCCGUCUCUAAAAUAUGUAUUUGUGGACAUCUCCUC